GACAGAGGCCUCGAGCGUUAGGCGGAAUCACUGGGCUUAAAGCGUGUGUAGGCGGAUCGUUAAGUGCCUUGUGAAAUCCCACGGCUUAACUGUGGAACGGCUGGGCAUACUGGCGGUCUUGAGCCAUCUAGGGGCGACUGGAACAAACGGUGGAGCGGUGAAAUGCGUAGAUAUCGUUUGGAACGCCAAAGGUGAAAACAGGUCGCUGGGGGAUGA
rnacentral:rRNA from 1 species